GCCUCCUUGGCUUAGUGGUAUGAGCGUCGCUCUUGUAUAAGAUGAGAAGCGAAGGUCCUGUGUUCGAUCCACAGAGGGGGCA